rnacentral:rRNA from 1 species
AGUGAACGCUGGCGGUAGGCCUAACACAUGCAAGUCGAACGGCAGCACAGUAAGAGCUUGCUCUUACGGGUGGCGAGUGGCGGACGGGUGAGGAAUACAUCUGAAUCUACUUUUUCGUGGGGGAUAACGUAGGGAAACUUACGCUAAUACCGCAUACGACCUACGGGUGAAAGCAGGGGAUCUUCGGACCUUGCGCGAUUGAAUGAGCCGAUGUCGGAUUAGCUAGUUGGCGGGGUAAAGGCCCACCAAGGCGACGAUCCGUAGCUGGUCUGAGAGGAUGAGCGGCAAAACUGGAAAUGAGAGACGGUACAGAAGAAUAAGGGUGGAAGCAGUGGGGAAUAGUGAAAAAUGGGCGCAAGACUGAACCAGAAAUGCCGCGUGAGUGAAGAAGGACUGCAGGUUGUAAAGAGCUGUUGUGGGGAAAGAAAAGAAGCAGAUGAAUACCCCGAUGUAAUGACGGUACAUAAAGAAUAAGAACCGGCUAACUUCGAG